rnacentral:rRNA from 1 species
GAUGAACGCUGGCGGCGUGCCUAAUACAUGCAAGUCGAACGAAGCGGGGACGGGUGAGUAACACGUGGAUAACCUCCUAUAAGACUGGGAUAACUUCGGGAAACCGGAGCUAAACCGGAUAAUUAUAGAUGGAUCCGCGCUGCAUUAGCUAGUUGGUAAGGUAACGGCUUACCAAGGCAACGAUGCAUAGCCGACCAGAGAGGGUGAGAGGCCACACUGGAACUGAGACACGGUCCAGACUCCUACGGGAGGAAGCAGUAGGGAAUUUUGCGCAAUGGGCGAAAGCCUGAAGGAGCCAUGCCGCGUGAGUGAUGAAGGGCUUCGGAUCGUAAAAUUCUGUUAUUAGGGAAGCGGUACCUAAUCAGAAAGCCCCGGCUAACUACGUGCCAGCAGCCGCGGUAAUAC